ACUGGCAUAAUGAUGAUUUAAAAAAAUAAUAAUUUGCCGUUUACCCAACUGAGUGUUUCCUUGAAGUAGCUUGAAAUCUGAUGUGCCAUA